rnacentral:rRNA from 1 species
UUAACACAUGCAAGUCGAGGGGCAGCAUUUUAGUUUGCUUGCAAACUGAAGAUGGCGACCGGCGCACGGGUGAGUAACACGUAUCCAACCUGCCGAUAACUCCGGGAUAGCCUUUCGAAAGAAAGAUUAAUACCGGAUAGCAUACGAAUAUCGCAUGAUAUUUUUAUUAAAGAAUUUCGGUUAUCGAUGGGGAUGCGUUCCAUUAGUUUGUUGGCGGGGUAACGGCCCACCAAGACUACGAUGGAUAGGGGUUCUGAGAGGAAGGUCCCCCACAUUGGAACUGAGACACGGUCCAAACUCCUACGGGAGGCAGCAGUGAGGAAUAUUGGUCAAUGGGCGCGAGCCUGAACCAGCCAAGUAGCGUGAAGGAUGAAGGCUCUAUGGGUCGUAAACUUCUUUUAUAUGGGAAUAAAGUUUUCCACGUGUGGAAUUUUGUAUGUACCAUAUGAAUAAGGAUCGGCUAACUCCGUGCCAGCAGCCGCGGUAAUACGGAGGAUCCGAGCGUUAUCCGGAUUUAUUGGGUUUAAAGGGAGCGUAGGUGGAUUGUUAAGUCAGUUGUGAAAGUUUGCGGCUCAACCGUAAAAUUGCAGUUGAAACUGGCAGUCUUGAGUACAGUAGAGGUGGGCGGAAUUCGUGGUGUAGCGGUGAAAUGCUUAGAUAUCACGAAGAACUCCGAUUGCGAAGGCAGCUCACUAGACUGUCACUGACACUGAUGCUCGAAAGUGUGGGUAUCAAACAGGAUUAGAUACCCUGGUAGUCCACACAGUAAACGAUGAAUACUCGCUGUUUGCGAUAUACAGUAAGCGGCCAAGCGAAGGCAUUAAGUAUUCCACCUGGGGAGUACGCCGGCAACGGUGAAACUCAAAGGAAUUGACGGGGGCCCGCACAAGCGGAGGAACAUGUGGUUUAAUUCGAUGAUGCGCGAGGAACCUUACCCGGGCUUAAAUUGCAACAGAAUAUAUUGGAAACAGUAUAGCCGUAAGGCUGUUGUGAAGGUGCUGCAUGGUUGUCGUCAGCUCGUGCCGUGAGGUGUCGGCUUAAGUGCCAUAACGAGCGCAACCCUUAUCUUUAGUUACUAACAGGUCAUGCUGAGGACUCUAGAGAGACUGCCGUCGUAAGAUGUGAGGAAGGUGGGGAUGACGUCAAAUCAGCACGGCCCUUACGUCCGGGGCUACACACGUGUUACAAUGGGGGGUACAGAAGGCGGCUACCUGGUGACAGGAUGCUAAUCCCAAAAACCUCUCUCAGUUCGGAUCGAAGUCUGCAACCCGACUUCGUGAAGCUGGAUUCGCUAGUAAUCGCGCAUCAGCCAUGGCGCGGUGAAUACGUUCCCGGGCCUUGUACACACCGCCCGUCAAGCCAUGAAAGCCGGGGGUACCUGAAGUACGUAACCGCAAGGAGCGUCCUAGGGUAAAACUGGUAAUUGGG